GAUUAACGCUGGCGGCGUGCAUAACACAUGCAAGUCGAACGAUCAAACUUAAAUGUUUUCUUCGGAAUGAACUCAAGUGGAUUAGUGGCGGCCGGUUGAGUAACGCGUGAGUAACCUGCGUUACACAAGGGGAUAGCCGUUGGAAACGACGAAUAAUAUUCUAUGAAAUUAUCCCUUCGCAUGAAACGAUAGUACUGGUGUUAGCAGAGUAAGAUGGACUUCCGUAUGAUUAGCUAGUUGGUGAGAAAAAAGACCACCAAGGCAACGAUCAGUAGCCGGCUUGAGAGAGCGGACGGCCACACUGGGACUGGGACACGGCGCAGACUCCUACGGAAGGCAGCAGUGGGGAAGGGUGCACAAUGGGGGAAACCCUGAGGCAGCGACACCGCGUGAUUUAGAAAGCAGUCGAGUUGUAAAAAUCUUGUGAAUAGGAAGAAAAUGACAGUACUAAACGAAUAAGGUCCGGCUAAUUACGUG
rnacentral:rRNA from 1 species